rnacentral:rRNA from 1 species
AGCGAACGCUGGCGGCAGGCCUAACACAUGCAAGUCGAACGAACCCUUCGGGGUUAGUGGCGGACGGGUGAGUAACACGUGGGAACGUGCCUUUAGGUUCGGAAUAACUCAGGGAAGCUUGUGCUAAUACCGAAUGUGCCCUUCGGGGGAAAGAUUUAUCGCCUUUAGAGCGGCCCGCGUCUGAUUAGCUAGUUGGUGAGGUAAUGGCUCACCAAGGCUACGAUCAGUAGCUGGUCUGAGAGGAUGACCAGCCACAUUGGGACUGAGACACGGCACAAACUCCUACGGGAGGCAGCAGUGGGGAAUCUUGCGCAAUGGGCGAAAGCCUGACGCAGCCAUGCCGCGUGGAUGAUGAAGGUCUUAGGAUUGUAAAAUCCUUUCACCGGUGAAGAUAAUGACUGUAGCCGGAGAAGAAGCCCCGGCUAACUUCGUGCCAGCAGCCGCAGUAACAC